ensembl:lincRNA Gm26658 predicted gene, 26658
CCUUUCAGAAUCCAAAACUAAGAAUUCAACACUGAUUUCUUCAAGACUCUCACAAGGAAUAUCAAAGACAAACAGUUCAUUGAACACUGCGUUGGGAGUGCAUUUCUUAACAGGAAUCAGGACUUCUCCAAUGACAUCAUCUCUAGAAAACCUGUCAAAACUCAGAACUGUGAAGUGCAAGGAGAGCUCUUGGAUGUGGGGAUAAGGGAUUCCAUAGAAUGUGAAGGUUUCAUCAAAAACAGGGUCCAGCGUCUUCCUCAGCACUCUGGUCUUCACUCUAUGCUUCUUCUCUGCUCAGGCUGUAGCUUACAGAGCCGCGUGAACAUUCGGGAACUUCUGGAAGGUGAAAUCACAAGGCAAUGUUAAGGAGAAAAAUAUCAAGGGAAGGAAGUAAGCCACAAUUAACCAUCUGCUGUUCUCGUCUUCCUUUCAAAUUAGCUACUUGAAAAUAUACAUAUUCAAGACCCAGUAGAGAGCAAAGCACAGCACAGCCCCGAGCCCAGCCACAGCCCCAAGUUCAGCAACUUGCUCACCGAAUUCCACGCGGCUGGUGGUGAUAGGAGCCAUGUUUUCUGCGUGCUCUGUCCGAGGUGCUGAAAGAACUCCGGGCAGAUUCACCUGGAAGGAUCCGGGAACAAGGCUUCCAGGGGAAACACAGGGGAUCUGGGACCAGCACCGGCAGCGGGAGGGACUGGAGGAAGGUCCGCGCUCUCUAUCAGCAAUGUGCCACCCUGCCCUGUUCCUGUUGGCUCUUCUGAAAAGCUUGUCUCCGAGACUCCAGACGUGGCUGAAACCCGAAUUGACGCAAUCCUGACGCUACAGGGCUGAAAUCAGCACCUGCCCUCCCCCUCCUCCCUCCAGCCGCUCCUCCUCGCCCUCCUUCUGGCAUCCUCCCUCCUCUCUUGAGGAUUCAGCGCACACUCACCAAUUAUUUUAACUGUUGGGCUACUAGAUUUGAACUAUGCUAUUCUGUUAGACUCGGAGGCACACGGAGACGCGUCCUGAAACGUAUCCUUGACAAUUCUUAGUCCAAAAUUCUCCUGAUGAUAUACAGACAUUAAAAUAAAUGAGUCCUACUUAUCAGACUAUCAUAAUUUAUAAGAGGAAUACAGAGUAAAGAGAGGGAAGUCUCCAUAUCAAAUGACUCACUGUAAUAUGCAUGCUUGCUUCUUAAAUUAUUCUGUGAACUAUUGCAUGCAUGCCAUACUUAUUUGGAGGAAAUACACUGUAAAUUGUUACAUUAAAAAUAAUCAUGUUCUUACUACCAAUUUAUAGUCUGAACAUUAGGUUGAUAGUGUUGCUGGUUUCUUGUCUGUCAGCUAUUUUCCUUUUAAUACUUGACAUUUGACCAGUUAAGAUUCUUGGGAAUAGAUGGAAUUAAUUCUGUUUGAAUUUAUUCUCAGAUAUGACUUUUAAUAUUUGGAUACUGCUGAUAUAGUAACAUUUAUAGUCAAAUGUUCUGACCUCUAAUAGGUUUCUGCAAACAAAUAACAAGAAUUGGACCAAAUUCUGAAAUAAUAUUAUUACCAGUUACUUUCAAAGGACUGCUAUUCUGGAAUGAGGAUCUGAAAAAAUAUGGUGUCAAUUUUUGAUUAAUUUGAAUCGUAAGGUUAUCACUUUUAAAAAACAAACACUAAGCAGAUUUAUAAAGAAGAAACAUAGCUGUAAUUUUCACCUAUCAUUUAAUGUUACACACACACACACACACCUUUGCUCUGGAAUUCAAUUAACAAAUGAAAUGCAAUAUGUACUGUCAUGAAGGAAGCUGAGCCAUGAGGUUGUUUCAGAAAACUACUGUACAUGAGACAGGUGUCUGCACACUGGCAAACAGCUUCCCUAAGUGCCAGCAGUGUGUCUGGGGAUACACUGGUUUCAGCCCUCUGCAUCAUGGAAAAUUUUCUAAGUCAAAGCCUCAUUUCUUUCUACCAGCUCCCACACACUUGGCACUGAAGUGUUCUUUGAAUAGACAUUUUUUAAACCUUACAUAUUCAUGCUAUGAAAACACAGAAACUAAGUCACUGUGUGUCAUGUUCCCAUGGCAGUGGCUGUGCUAAUGUUCUAAGCAACCCAAACAUGCAUAGUACCUGCCUUCUCAGCCCUCUGCAUGCACCAGUUAAAGUGUUCUGUUUCAUGAAAGUAGAAUUCACUUGUGAUGCAUUUCGCAGUAAUCUGAUCAUACAAUGUAAAUUAUAUUAAAGUAUAUGUUUCCCAUCUAAGUUGUUGUAACAUAUGGUUAAGCUCAUUUGUCAUAAACAUAAAUAUAUUCUGUGUAUGUUACAUUAAAAUUAGUACCUCAUUAACUAUAGCUUCAUAUGGCAAAAUGGUGUGUCAAACCUGUCUAGAUUCUUAAACAGUAUUUCUCCAAAACUCAGCCCAUCCUGCCCUCCCCUAUUUCAAAAGAGCUAAUGAAGUAAGAGGACCAAUUGCCCAGAGUUGAUGCCAUUGUAGCUAUUUCAUUGCUUGCUUUAAAAGCAAACUGAAAAUAAAUGCUAUUAAUC